rnacentral:rRNA from 1 species
UACGGAGGGGGCAAGCGUUGUUCGGAAUUACUGGGCGUAAAGGGCGCGUAGGCGGAUAGUUUAGUCAGAGGUGAAAGCCCAGGGCUCAACCUUGGAACUGCCUUUGAUACUGGCUAUCUUGAGUUCGGGAGAGGUGAGUGGAAUGCCGAGUGUAGAGGUGAAAUUCGUAGAUAUUCGCAAGAACACCAGUGGCGAAGGCGGCUCACUGGCCCGAUACUGACGCUGAGGCACGAAAGCGUGGGGAGCAAACAGG